ACUCCUACGGGAGGCAGCAGUGGGGAAUCUUGCGCAAUGGGCGAAAGCCUGACGCAGCCAUGCCGCGUGGAUGAUGAAGGUCUUAGGAUUGUAAAAUCCUUUCACCGGGGACGAUAAUGACGGUACCCGGAGAAGAAGCCCCGGCUAACUUCGUGCCAGCAGCCGCGGUAAUACGAAGGGGGCUAGCGUUGCUCGGAAUUACUGGGGCGUAAAGGGCGCGUAGGCGGACAGUUAAGUUGGGGGUGAAAGCCCGGGGGCUCAACCUCGGAAAUGCCUUCAAUACUGGCUGUCUUGAGUACGGGGAGAGGUGAGUGGAACUCCGAGUGUAGAGGUGAAAUUCGUAGAUAUUCGGAAGAACACCAGUGGCGAAGGCGACUCACUGGCCCGUUACUGACGCUGAGGCGCGAAAGCGUGGGGAGCAAACAGGAUUAGAUACCCUGGUAGGAUAGCG
rnacentral:rRNA from 1 species